rnacentral:misc_RNA from 1 species
AAGUCGUAACAAGGUUUUGCCCACCGAAGCCUGGCACGGCGACUUAAUAAAUAAUCGUGGAGUCCUUCACGGGGGACAACACCGCUGAAAUGCUGUCAUCACUCCGGUGUAUCAGCAGUCCACAUUUGGGGCUCACAGAUCAAGCCGCGGUGGUCUAAUUAUACUGAUUAACUAGAUUGUAAUAUGAUCGGCCUCGACUUGGCUGUCGAGUUUAUGUGUUCCGUAGGUGAACCUGCGGAAGGAUCAUUAAAGAGUUAGGGUCUUCCGGGCCCGACCUCCAACCCUUUGUUUAACUACCAU